GGUAGUGUAGUUAUAGCUGCAUUAUUUGUACGUUAGCGACAGAAGAAGCACCGGCUAACUCCGUGCCAGCAGCCGCGGUAAUACGGAGGGUGCGAGCGUUAAUCGGAAUUACUGGGCGUAAAGACGCAUGCAGGUGGUUUGUUUAAGUUACAGAUGUGAAAGACCCGGGGCGUCAACCUCGGAAUAGCAUUUGAAACUAGGCAGACUAGAGUACUGUAGAGGGGGGUAGGAAGUUUCAGGUGUAGCGGUGAAAUGCGUAGAGAUCUGAAGGAAUACCGGUGGCGAAGGCGGCCCCCUCGGACAGAUACUGACACUCAGAUGCGAAAGCGUGGGGAGCAAACAGGAUUAGAUACCCCUGGUAG
rnacentral:rRNA from 1 species